AGGUCAUGUGUUCAAUUCCCAUAAUGUUGAUUUAUUUUGACCCAAUUAUUUUCACGAAAGCCCAUAAAAGGCCCUUCAACAUACAAGUACCUGGGCCGGAUCGCUUAGCGUGUGUAAACCAAGGGAGAAGGACUAAACCAAACCAAGAAUACAUAUUCCCUUUAAUAGUAGGUAUAGAUAUAGAUAUAGAUUUCAGACUUCGCCUAUGAAAUCUUGUUUUUUUCAGACUUUUUGCAUUUAGUAAUUAUGAGAAGUCAUCAAUCUCGAUCGCGGGUGCAUGACACGAAGAACAAGAAUUGAUAUUGAUUGUCGAUCAAAAAUGCUGCCGCCACAUGACAUACGCACGUAUGCAUAUGCAGCAUAGGUACGGUGAGCUCACUAGCUCAGCUUUUGUGGCCACCGGCAGCGGGGGCGGGAGUGGGAGCGGCGGCGGUGGCGGCGGCAGCCAUGGCGAAGAUGGUCUCGACCAUGGCGGUCUCAUAGGUCAUAAGCCUGAUCUUAGGGUUUUUGGGAUUAGUGGGGGCGUAGGCCUCCUUGACCGCGGACUCGAGGGCGGGGACGUAUUUGUAGCCCCCGGAUGCACCGCCCGUGGUCUCCUUGAUGGCCUUGUCGAAGGCGGAGUCGAAGACGGCGGACCUGUCCUUGGCCGGGGCAGCGUCGGCGGCGGUGGCUGCAGUCCUGAAGGCGGCGUCAAUCUGGCCGAUGGCCUUCAGCUCGCCGGCAGGGAUCGGGCCCUUGACUUCCUCGGCAGCGGGCUUGACGGCGUGCACCUCGAGGAUGCCGGCGAUGAUGCGGAGCGACUCGCCGAAGAUAGCCACGAAGGAGUCGUACUUGGCCUCCGGGGUAGCGCCCUUGGUGUCCCAUAAGGCCCUCAUCAUAGCGAAGGUGACCCUGGUGUUGAGACUGUCGGUGGAGCUGGACGCGUCGGUGACCCCCUCGAGAAACCAGUUGCCAUUGUUCUGUCUGAAGGUCUUCACGAAUAUAUUGCCCUUGUCCUCUGGAGGGGCUGCGGCUGCGGCCGCCACGGCCGCCUUGAAGGCGUUGUUGGCCUUCUCAAUUAGCUUCUGCUCCUCGGUCGUGGCCUUGGGCUGUGCCCCGGCCGGGGCGUUGCCGGCUUCGGCGGCGUACGAGACGGCUGGCCCUGCCACGAGGGCGACGGCCACCACUAGCGCCACCGUGCAUUGCUGCACUGCCAUUGCUGCUGCUCGUCUCGCGUUGGUCGAUCGGUUUGCACAGUACGUCGGACGACAAAUUGUGGUGUGGUGUGGUGUGUGAGAGAAUGAAGGAGCUUAUUUCGCGCGCUCUCUCUCUCUAUAUAUCCGUACGGUGAGAGUCCAGGAGAGAUUACCGCGCCCAAAUUAGCAAUCUCCUCCUCUCCUCUCCUUUUUUAGCCAAACUAAUGAGCUAGGUUUAACUGGAUUCAUGCCACCGCAUGCAGCUUCCACGACUUGGAAAAAUACUGAUAUGACCACGACUGCUGAUGCUGUUGUUGCUCUUCACACAUUGUCACAUUUUAAUCAACUAUAGAUCAAUAAUAUUUGCAUGCCAAAAAUAUUUCAAUUAAGAGACUUUUGUUGCCGCGGCCGGUAAACAUGAAGAGUCAAGAAAGAAAAAUACUCCUACGAUAAAGCAAAUGAAAAAGAAUUGCAUGUAGCCAUAGAUGACUGACAUGAAGAGUCGAAAGAAAAAUACUCCUACGAUAAAGUAAGUGAAAAAGAAUUGCAUGCAGUAGCAUACAUGCAUGCACCACAUGAUGUACGUCCACAUGAUUACGCUGAUGGUUUUGAUUGGCGUGCAACCAAGAUAUUACAUACACAUGAUACACAUGAUACUAAUGUAUGAUACUAUCUUCGUAGUGCAUAAUAUCAUAAGAGUGAAUUACACUGGUGGUGCUAGAAGUUGANNNNNNNNNNNNNNNNNNNNNNNNNNNNNNNNNNNNNNNNNNNNNNNNNNNNNNNNNNNNNNNNNNNNNNNNNNNNNNNNNNNNNNNNNNNNNNNNNNNNCACGUAUGCAUAUGCAGCAUAGGUACGGUGAGCUCACUAGCUCAGCUUUUGUGGCCACCGGCAGCGGGGGCGGGAGUGGGAGCGGCGGCGGUGGCGGCGGCAGCCAUGGCGAAGAUGGUCUCGACCAUGGCGGUCUCAUAGGUCAUAAGCCUGAUCUUAGGGUUUUUGGGAUUAGUGGGGGCGUAGGCCUCCUUGACCGCGGACUCGAGGGCGGGGACGUAUUUGUAGCCCCCGGAUGCACCGCCCGUGGUCUCCUUGAUGGCCUUGUCGAAGGCGGAGUCGAAGACGGCGGAC
rnacentral:lncRNA from 1 species